rnacentral:rRNA from 1 species
CAGCCGCGGGAAUACAGAGGGUGCGAGCGUUAAUCGGAUUUACUGGGCGUAAAGCGUGCGUAGGCGGCUUCUUAAGUCGGAUGUGAAAUCCCUGAGCUUAACUUAGGAAUUGCAUUCGAUACUGGGAAGCUAGAGUAUGGGAGAGGAUGGUAGAAUUCCAGGUGUAGCGGUGAAAUGCGUAGAGAUCUGGAGGAAUACCGAUGGCGAAGGCAGCCAUCUGGCCUAAUACUGACGCUGAGGUACGAAAGCAUGGGGAGCAAACAGGAUUAGAUACCCGGGUAGUCCCUGUCUCUUAUACACU